rnacentral:rRNA from 1 species
UACGUAGGGUGCGAGCGUUAAUCGGAAUUACUGGGCGUAAAGCGUGCGCAGGCGGUGAUGUAAGACCGAUGUGAAAUCCCUCGGCUUAACCGGGGAACUGCGUCUGAUACUGGAUGGCUUGAGUUUGGGAGAGGGACGCGGAAUUCCAGGUGUAGCGGUGAAAUGCGUAGAUAUCUGGAGGAACACCGGUGGCGAAGGCGGCGUCCUGGACCAACACUGACACUGAUGAGCGAAAGCCAGGGGAGCAAACGGG